ensembl:snoRNA
GGCUUGUCUCUCUUGGGGUUAUGGAGGAUCCAGUUUCUCCUCAGCCAAGGAUAGAGGCCAACAUCAGCCCCUGAGGACUGUUGUCAGCACUGCCAUGAGUGGGCAGCCUUAAUUUCCUGCCUCAGACAUUU